rnacentral:rRNA from 1 species
UGAACGCUGGCGGCGUGCCUAAUACAUGCAAGUCGAGCGAACAGACGAGGAGCUUGCUCCUCUGACGUUAGCGGCGGACGGGUGAGUAACACGUGGAUAACCUACCUAUAAGACUGGGAUAACUUCGGGAAACCGGAGCUAAUACCGGAUAAUAUAUUGAACCGCAUGGUUCAAUAGUGAAAGACGGUUUUGCUGUCACUUAUAGAUGGAUCCGCGCCGCAUUAGCUAGUUGGUAAGGUAACGGCUUACCAAGGCAACGCUGCGUAGCCGACCUGAGAGGGUGAUCGGCCACACUGGAACUGAGACACGGUCCAGACUCCUACGGGAGGCAGCAGUAGGGAAUCUUCCGCAAUGGGCGAAAGCCUGACGGAGCAACGCCGCGUGAGUGAUGAAGGUCUUCGGAUCGUAAAACUCUGUUAUUAGGGAAGAACAAAUGUGUAAGUAACUAUGCACGUCUUGACGGUACCUAAUCAGAAAGCCACGGCUAACUACGUG